GAUGAAGAACGUAGCGAAAUGCGAUAAGUAAUGUGAAUUGCAGAAUUCAGUGAAUCAUCGAAUCUUUGAACGCACAUUGCGCCCGCCAGUAUUCUGGCGGGCAUGCCUGUUCGAGCGUCAUUUCAACCAUCAAGCCCCCGGGCUUGUGUUGGGGACCUGCGGCUGCCGCAGGCCCUGAAAACCAGUGGCGGGCUCGCUAGUCACUCCGAGCGUAGUAGUUACAUCUCGCUCAGGGCGUGCUGCGGGUUCCGGCCGUUAAAAGCCUUUUACCCCAAGGUUGACCUCGGAUCAGGUAGGAAUACCCGCUGAACUUAAGCAUAUCAAUAAGCGGAGGA
rnacentral:misc_RNA from 1 species